AAUAAUUUUGGUUCUAGAUUAGAAAAUCUUAAUUAAAUUUUUUAUAUAUUAAAGUUAAUAAUAAUAUAAGUAUAGAUUAAAAAAGUUAAUAAUUAUUUUUAUACAACUUUUAAAGGUAUUGAAAUUAUUUGUGUUUUGAUUAAAUGUGUGCCAGCAUUCGCGGUUAAACACAGGAAAUAAGUUUUAAAAAUUAGAUAAUUAUGUUUAUUUAGAGAAUAAAAUUGAAGAAUUAAGUAAAAUUUUGCUAAAGUGUAAUAUUUCAUAAAAAUUGAUUAUAUUAAAUUAAUAAAAAUUACCAGGAUUAGAUACCCUGUUUAUUAAAAUAAUGAUAAAGUAGUACUCAGGAAACUUAAGGAAUUUGGCGGUAUUUUAUGUAUUUAGAGGAACUUGUCCUUUAAUUGAUAAUCCACAGAAAAUUUACUUUUAAAAAAUAAUUUAUAUACCGUUGUGAAAAACUAAUAAAAAUUUUAGUUUAUAAUUAUAAAUAAGUUAGUUAUUCAAAUCAAGGUGUAGUUAAUAUAAAAGAUGAAGAUGAGUUACAUUUAUUAAAAUUAUGAGAGUUUAGUUGAAUUUAAUAGAGUUUUUUAGGAUUUAUUAGUAAAUAUGGUAUUAACAAUAUUUGAAUAAAUAUCUAAAAUAUGUACACAUCGCCCGUCGUUCUUGUUAAAAAAUGAGACAAGUCGUAACAAAGUAGAUUUGCUGGAAAGGAUGUCUAGAAUAGA
rnacentral:rRNA from 1 species